rnacentral:lncRNA from 10 species
AGCACACGUGAAUGACCUAAAGAUCUUAUACGAAUGCAGAUUUUGAUUCUGGAGGUCUUGGAUGGGCCCGACAGUCUGCAUUUCUAAUAAGCUCCCAGGUUGUGGCCAUGUUGCUGGUGCAUGAACCAUAAUAUGACUGGCUAGGCAUUAACCUUCGUUUUCAGGCAAGACUUUGGCUGUCUACUGAUACAAUUCUCUCUUCUUUUUUAGAAAAAUAUCCAACCCGAGCAGGAUAAAACUGAUCAUCCUGAGGAUAUUGCCCUUGGAGUUAAUUUUUUGAGAGAAAUAAAACAAUAAACAUCAUAAGACACAAACCCCAAGCAACUGAUCUCACUGUUAAAAUCCAACCUGAGAACAAUGGAAUGGCAUGUACCUCUGGAGUCCUGAGCCACAAAGUAAGAAACUCAGCUACCCUGAUGUUGCCAUGUUAAAGAGACUAUCUGGAAAAGCCACAAAAAGAUAGAGAAAGAUGCUAAAGGGGCCUCUGCUGUUCUGGCCCCCACCUAAUUGAGCCAUCAGACAGCAUGAACCAUCAGAUAUAUGAAUGAACAAGGCUUCAGUCUAUUCAUAUCAACAUGAGGAACAUCA